AAGGGUAUAGCUCAAGUGUUAAAGCGUGUGCCCAGCAUGCACAAGAUCCUGGGUUCAGUUCCCAGUACCCCCU
rnacentral:tRNA from 1 species